UACAGAGGUCCCGAGCGUUAGGCGGAAUCACUGGGCUUAAAGCGUGUGUAGGCGGGUCCGUAAGUGCCUUGUGAAAUCCCACCGCUCAACGGUGGAACUGCUGGGCAUACUGCGGGUCUUGAGCCAGCUAGGGGCGACCGGAACAGACGGUGGAGCGGUGAAAUGCGUAGAUAUCGUCUGGAACGCCGAAGGUGAAAACAGGUCGCUGGGGCUGCGCUGACGCUGAGACACGAAAGCCAGGGGAGCAAACGGG
rnacentral:rRNA from 1 species